rnacentral:rRNA from 1 species
ACGGGAGGCGCAGUGGGGAAUAUUGCACAAUGGGGGAAACCCUGAUGCAGCGACGCCGCGUGAGUGAAGAAGUAUUUCGGUAUGUAAAGCUCUAUCAGCAGGGAAGAUAAUGACGGUACCUGACUAAGAAGCCCCGGCUAACUACGUGCCAGCAGCCGCGGUAAUACGUAGGGGGCAAGCGUUAUCCGGAUUUACUGGGUGUAAAGGGAGCGUAGACGGUCUGGCAAGUCUGAAGUGAAAUGCCGGGGCCCAACCCCGGAACUGCUUUGGAAACUGUUGGACUGGAGUGCAGGAGAGGUAAGCGGAAUUCCUAGUGUAGCGGUGAAAUGCGUAGAUAUUAGGAGGAACACUAGAGGCGAAGGCGGCUUACUGGACUGUAACUGACGUUGAGGCUCGAAAGCGUGGGGAGCAAACAGGAUUAGAUACCCUGGUA